rnacentral:rRNA from 1 species
GACGAACGCUGGCGGCGUGCUUAACACAUGCAAGUCGAACGGAAAGGCCCUGCUUUUGUGGGGUGCUCGAGUGGCGAACGGGUGAGUAACACGUGAGUAACCUGCCCUUGACUUUGGGAUAACUUCAGGAAACUGGGGCUACUACCGGAUAGGAGCUCCUGCUGCAUGGUGGGGGUUGGAAAGUUUCGGCGGUUGGGGAUGGACUCGCGGCUUAUCAGCUUGUUGGUGGGGUAGUGGCUUACCACGGCUUUGACGGGUAGCCGGCCUGAGAGGGUGACCGGCCACAUUGGGACUGAGAGACGGCCCAGACUCCUACGGGAGGCAGCAGUGGGGAAUAUUGCACAAUGGGCGGAAGCCUGAUGCAGCAACGCCGCGUGCGGGAUGACGGCCUUCGGGUUGUAAACCGCUUUCGCCUGUGACGAAGCGUGAGUGACGGUAAUGGGUAAAGAAGCACCGGCUAACUACGUG